AAGAUAGGGUUUCCUUUAGCAGCUUAACUCUGUUCUCAUGUUGGAAGUGGAUUUUGUGCUGGAAUCAAUUGUUAAAAGGACAGCACUGCCUUGAAGAUGUAUCCAGGCAGAAGAGUUGGUGACUCAACGUUAGCUCACCACAGUCAUAAAAAUGACUGAUUCUCAUGAGCACAGACACUGGAUAGCCCUCCUAUCCGUGCACAGAAGAUGUUGCGAUGAGGACCAUAGCCUCCUGCCUGACUCCCCUCCAAACCCCUGGGGAUAAAAGCCAUGAGUAUCCUGGAAGCUUAGCUCAAGUCCGCAGACAUGCUGCUCUGUGAAAGGACAGGUACUUUUGCAAGCCUAUUGUGUGAGCAGCUGCAUGUCUAUAGAAACUAAUACGGUGAUUCAUUGUUCUGCUGUAAGCUUCAAUAUUUGACAUAAAUUUUGUCAAGGCAACCUUUCCCCCUCUGCUUCCGCUUCUAAUAUUUAAUUGUAACACAUUGUGGUUGCAACAAGCUGAAACCAUUGAGAUUAAAAAAUGAGUUGUAAAAAAAAAAUGGAGAAACACAUUCUUUGUGGUGAAUACUAAUCUUGCAAAGCAUUUUAUUUCCGGGGAGGCUGCCAAGAGCAAGUGUGGAAGAGUCGGUAUUGAAAUGACUCAUGGCAUCUGCAGCCUCGGGAGGUCAGAGGAGCAGACAAGGAGAAUAGUCAAGGGCUUGCCUUGGAGGUGGAAGAACACUCCAUCGAGCAGACAGAGCAAAGCUAUGUCUGGAAGGGAGGAUUCCCAACCUCCACACACUGGGUCAGGGCACCUUCCCUUUUCUGGAUUAGCUUCCGGCCCCGUGGAACAUUCUCCUCUCUUAAGUCAAUCAACUCUGCAAGACUGGAUUGCUUACUCUUGGUUCACUGAAUUCUGGUGGGCUGUCUUAGAAAUGACCCCUCUGCCGAGCCUGUGGGAUCUUCUCAACCAGGCCUGUGUGGUCACUCACCUUCUGAGGGUACUGGGGACUGUAGGAUGGAGCCUGCCUGGAGGAGCAGGAGGUGGAUGGACUACAGCAAGCCCAGCUCAAAUGGAGCAGAACAGAGCACAAGGCCCCAAGAUGCUGAGGAGCUGCAGGGAUGCUGAAGAACUUGGUUCUCCAAGCAAACAGCAGCUCAGCCAUCCUGUGCCCACCAGCCGGUCUGUGGACUGAGCACAUUCCCUAAGAGUACAGAAUAGGGAGAGUCAUUGAACCCUUACCUGGGAUUCCAGCCAUCUGUCCUAGCCAUUUGUUUGCAAUUCUUCCCUAAUUUUAUGUGGCUUGGAGUACAUAGACUGGGGACAGUUGACUAAAGGAAGCUGUAUCUGUGUGACUAUUGGGGACACCACCAUCCAUGCUGGGUGAAGACUGCAGUGUAGCUGUUUUGGGUCACCCAAGCUCCUAUAUACAAUCCCUCACCCAUGUUCUGUAGGUAAGGCCAAUAAACUCCCUAGUUGAACUUUGG
rnacentral:lncRNA from 1 species